rnacentral:rRNA from 1 species
UACGUAGGGGGCAAGCGUUGUCCGGAUUUAUUGGGCGUAAAGCGCGUGUAGGCGGCCAGGUAGGUCCGCUGUGAAAACCCGAGGCUCAACCUCGGGACGUCGGCGGAAACCAUUUGGCUAGAGUCCGGAAGAGGAGAGUGGAAUUCCCGGUGUAGCGGUGAAAUGCGCAGAUAUCGGGAAGAACACCCGUGGCGAAGGCGGCUCUCUGGGGCGGUACUGACACUGAGAAGCGAAAGCAUGGGGAGCGAACAGG